UAGGCAGCAGCUAAGAAUCUUCCGCGAUGGGCGAAAGCCUGACGGAGCGACGCCGCGUGAACGAAGAAGGCCGUGAGGUUGUAAAGUUCUUUUCGGGAGGGGGAACGACCGUGGCAGGGAAUGGCCGCGGGAUGACGUGAAUCCCGGAAUAAGCCCCGGCUAACUACGUGCCAGCAGCCGCGGUAACACGUAGGGGGCGAGCGUUGUUCGGAAUCGUUGGGCGUAAAGGGCGUGCAGGCGGUCCUGCAAGUCCGGCGUGAAAGACCCCGGCCCAACCGGGGGGGCGCGCUGGAAACUGCAGGGCUUGAGUACAGGAGGGGAUGCCGGAAUUCCAGGUGUAGGGGUGAAAUCUGUAGAUAUCUGGAGGAACACCAAUGGCGAAGGCAGGCAUCUGGCCAUGUACUGACGCUGAGACGCGAAGGUGCGGGGAGCAAACAGGUUUAGAUACCCUGGUAGUCCGCACAGUAAACGAUGUGCACCAGGUGGCGGGGGGUCGACCCCCGGUACCGUAGCUAACGCAUUAAGUGCACCGCCUGGGGAGUAUGCUCGCAAGGGUGAAACUCAAAGGAAUUGACGGA
rnacentral:rRNA from 1 species